rnacentral:rRNA from 1 species
UACAGAGGUCUCAAGCGUUGUUCGGAUUCAUUGGGCGUAAAGGGUGCGUAGGUGGCGGGGUAAGUCAGGUGUGAAAUCUCGAGGCUCAACCUCGAAACUGCAUUUGAUACUGCCUUGCUCGAGUACUGGAGAGGAGAUUGGAAUUUACGGUGUAGCAGUGAAAUGCGUAGAUAUCGUAAGGAAGGCCAGUGGCGAAGGCGAAUCUCUGGACAGUUACUGACACUGAGGCACGAAGGCCAGGGGAGCAAACGGG